GAAGUGCAGAGAACGAGAGACUUUUGACGACCGUUUGUCGUAUUUUUUCUUCGUUUUAACAAUCCGUGGGAUGAAUCUCCAACAUUUUUUUUGCUUGUCUGGAAAAGAUUCAAGUAAAAUCUUUGAAGUUUGCACGGUGAUCUAAAUACACGUGAAAAUGAGUGAAUCAGAACCCAUGUUCCUCCACACUGCCAUUAUGGAGGUCCUACCAGAGCCACAAAAGACAUCCUGGAAGAACACUUGCAGUCCAUUGGAAUAAAUGGAGUUGUAUGAGGAUCUACGAUUCAUAGAAGAGGCUGACUUGCUGCCAGCUUUGAGACCUGUUCAAGCCCGGAAACGUCUUGCUCUUUGGAAAUUGAAAUACCAAACGCCAGAGAACAGCACAUCAUCAUCUGUUGAGACCUCACCAACACAAUCAUCAUCACUUUUGUUAUAGUCACCGAGGAGUUCGUCAUCCACAUCUUCCAGAAGCCGAGGACUGUACAUACAUUGACUGGGAGGACAGCUUUGAAAUUCCAUGGAGAUGCCAUGUUCUUGUAGAAGAUGCAGACGAGGUCCAGCUGCAGCAGGUGCCGUUGACUCCAACUGUUAUUGUAUGUGGACAGUCUUGCUUUUCCCCAAGGAGGUUCAUGCUCAUUUGGAACCGCUCCAUCGUACACAACAACAUUGCAGCACUGUGCCUGAUGUUCAGAAGCUACUUCUGCUUUAACCGUCAUUAUCCAACUGAGCUGGCUUCAACCCUGGAGUUUCUGCAAAGCUGAUGUCCUGAGAUGUGCCACUCUACCUGGUUGGGAACAAAUUGAAGAGGCCAAGCUCAAGAAAGCCUUUGUCAACAAAUGUAGGGCAGAGCAGGUUCUAAGGCCACUGCUAUGAUCUACAGUAUGCGGACUGGUUUCUCUUCCAUCUUUUUUCUUAUUUUUUAUCUUAAUUUGGUUCUCAAGUUGGUCCAUGGAUUUGGUAGGCUGCAAGUUUAGGAGAAUGUUUUUAUCAGGUACUUUUUUAUGUGGUUACAUAAUUUUGUUUUUUUCCUUGUACCUCAGCAGUGAUGUCAGUGUGUUUGUUGUUUAAAAUAUGGAAGUUUUCUUUACCAUCAUGUCAGCCACAUUUAGUACGCCACAGUUCAUGUACUUAAUGCAUUUAAUAUUUUAAAAAGUGUCUAAUACUGCUACCACAAUUCAAAUGCUGUACUGAUGAUGGUGCUGCCCAAAUAAAGUGUAAAGCAUUUACA